rnacentral:rRNA from 1 species
CAGGCUUAACACAUGCAAGUCGAGGGGCAGCAUGGUCUUAGCUUGCUAAGGCCGAUGGCGACCGGCGCACGGGUGAGUAACACGUAUCCAACCUGCCGUCUACUCUUGGACAGCCUUCUGAAAGGAAGAUUAAUACAAGAUGGCAUCAUGAGUCCGCAUGUUCACAUGAUUAAAGGUAUUCCGGUAGACGAUGGGGAUGCGUUCCAUUAGAUAGUAGGCGGGGUAACGGCCCACCUAGUCUUCGAUGGAUAGGGGUUCUGAGAGGAAGGUCCCCCACAUUGGAACUGAGACACGGUCCAAACUCCUACGGGAGGCAGCAGUGAGGAAUAUUGGUCAAUGGGCGAGAGCCUGAACCAGCCAAGUAGCGUGAAGGAUGACUGCCCUAUGGGUUGUAAACUUCUUUUAUAAAGGAAUAAAGUCGGGUAUGGAUACCCGUUUGCAUGUACUUUAUGAAUAAGGAUCGGCUAACUCCGUGCCAGCAGCCGCGGUAAUACGGAGGAUCCGAGCGUUAUCCGGAUUUAUUGGGUUUAAAGGGAGCGUAGAUGGAUGUUUAAGUCAGUUGUGAAAGUUUGCGGCUCAACCGUAAAAUUGCAGUUGAUACUGGAUAUCUUGAGUGCAGUUGAGGCAGGCGGAAUUCGUGGUGUAGCGGUGAAAUGCUUAGAUAUCACGAAGAACUCCGAUUGCGAAGGCAGCCUGCUAAGCUGCAACUGACAUUGAGGCUCGAAAGUGUGGGUAUCAAACAGGAUUAGAUACCCUGGUAGUCCACACGGUAAACGAUGAAUACUCGCUGUUUGCGAUAUACAGCAAGCGGCCAAGCGAAAGCGUUAAGUAUUCCACCUGGGGAGUACGCCGGCAACGGUGAAACUCAAAGGAAUUGACGGGGGCCCGCACAAGCGGAGGAACAUGUGGUUUAAUUCGAUGAUACGCGAGGAACCUUACCCGGGCUUAAAUUGCAGAUGAAUUACGGUGAAAGCCGUAAGCCGCAAGGCAUCUGUGAAGGUGCUGCAUGGUUGUCGUCAGCUCGUGCCGUGAGGUGUCGGCUUAAGUGCCAUAACGAGCGCAACCCUUGUUGUCAGUUACUAACAGGUUCCGCUGAGGACUCUGACAAGACUGCCAUCGUAAGAUGUGAGGAAGGUGGGGAUGACGUCAAAUCAGCACGGCCCUUACGUCCGGGGCUACACACGUGUUACAAUGGGGGGUACAGAGGGCCGCUACCACGCGAGUGGAUGCCAAUCCCAAAAACCUCUCUCAGUUCGGACUGGAGUCUGCAACCCGACUCCACGAAGCUGGAUUCGCUAGUAAUCGCGCAUCAGCCACGGCGCGGUGAAUACGUUCCCGGGCCUUGUACACACCGCCCGUCAAGCCAUGGGAGCCGGGGGUACCUGAAGUGCGUAACCGCGAGGAGCGCCCUAGGGUAAAACUGGUGACUGGGGCUAAGUCAUAAC